CCAAAUCCACAAUCUCAGUAAAUUAGAAUAUUACAUGCAAUCAAUAAAACAAGGAGUGUACAUAGAACAAUAUCGGACCUCUGAAAAGUAUAAGCAUGCAUAUGGACUCAGUACUUGGUUUGGGCCCCUUUUGCAGCAAUUACUGCCUCAAAGCGGCGUGGCAUGGAAGCUAUCAGCCUGUGGCACUGCUGAGGUGUUAUGGAAGACCAG